CGGAGAUUUCUGCGCAUGCGGGAUCCACUAGCCUACCUGCUUCAAUUGCUGCUCGGUGACUCCACUGCCGCUUGUACACAUAACAGCUUGAACAAACGUAGGUCUUUGUCUGUUGGAACAGUAGGCCAUUGCAAACAUAGGUAUGACACAAACAGUUUGUCUAGCAAUUUCAUUUUUUCAGGAGGGGAAUGAUAUGCAGCUAUUAAGGCAAUCUAUGUGUGGUUUACACAGCAUAUCAAACAUGCAAGAAACAGACAGGCAGUCAAUAGCGAUUUAAAUGUUCUUUUUUCAUCAUCAUCAUUGCAAGCAUUGGCUGAACAGAAGGCAGACUGCUGGCUAUAUGUUAUCAUACCUAUACUGAUUACAUCUCACACAAAACGCUACUUGUGUUGCCCCAGUGCAAUCGGAAGACUGCGUCCUGCUUGUGCUAGCUGUGGCAAUAUCCAUUACAACAGACAGAAGGAUGUAGCCUUCAAAUUGAUUUUUAGAACGUCAUAUAUUUUGGGAAAGUUUGUUCAAAUCUCAACUGAUCAGAAAUAUGAGGCAGAGAGACAGGCUACAUCAUCACAUGAUCCAAUUGGUUGAUGGUUCAGAAGAGGUUCAGUUAACAGCGAAAACCUGUACCGAAGGAUGGCUGAAGUUUGGCUGCAGCUGUUACUACAACUCCACUGUGAAGAACACCUGGAAUUACGCCAGAAAGGACUGUCUGAGCAGAGGAGCAGACCUGGUGAUCAUUAACAGCGAAGAUGAACAGGUAUUUCUCACUACAUUUGAUCAAUGGAUCUGGAUUGGUCUGACGGACAGAGAGACACAGGGAACCUGGAAAUGGGUGGACGGCACACCACUGACCAAAGCGUUCUGGUGGUGGUCAGAACCUGAUUCUGCCGCUGGAGAGAAGGACUGCGCUAUGAUGUAUAGCGGUGUACAAAAUAUUCCUCUACACGCAUGGAAUUACUUUAGGUGUGACUUGAAAUUGGAAUGGAUUUGUGAGGUGUUUUUUUCUUAACAAUACCAUAACAACAUUGUGUAUUCUCAAACAAACACACACACACACCUUAAACUUGUCAUGCCAUAUAAUGCUUGUGAUAUAGUCACAAGAAAGUUUAUUUUCGGUUUUAUAGCAGCUUCUAGUGGUCAAUAUGAGUAAUGGUAAUUUUCCUUUAUUUAUCUAUGCCAGGGCUGGCCAACCCUGUUCCGGAGAGCUGUUCCUUCCUGUAGGUUUUCGUUUCAACCCCAGUUGUAACUACAUUGAUUCAGUUUAUCAACCAGCUAACUAAUAGAAUCACGUGUACUACAUUAGGGUUGGAGUGAAAUCCUACAGGACAGCUAGCCAGACAGUUUUAGAGGAAUGAUUCAAUACAUUUUUCAAAUGAACUGCCAAUAUGGCAACAUUCCAUUCCAACAACGCAGUCAAUCCACAGCAACAUGCUGGCUGAUGACGGGACUUAGAUAAGUUGUAAAUGCAACAAGUACUGAUACUGUAUCAUAUAAUAGCACUCACAGCUUUCCAAGAAAACUAAAUCUGAUACAUUUAUGGUCUGUUUACAUAUAUUUGGGAGGCUAUAUGUUCAGAAAAUUGGUAUAAACCUGUAUUAAAUGUAUUUAUAAUUAUAUUGCAAUAUUUUAGAUUGACUAUAAUUUCAUUACACAACUUCUGAUAUGCCUUACUUUUAUUCUCUUGCUGAAGUAAAAGCAGGAAAUGCAUCACCUACUGUAUGCCUCUACUGCCAUUCAUUUCAAUUCGACUGGUUUUGGAUUUCUCCCUGACCAAGAUGGCUGCCAUUUGGCCCCAGUAUGGAACUUUGCAGUUUUAUGACAGAGCCCAUCUAGUAAUUUCAUAGGAUAUCUAUAUAUACAGUCAAGUAGAAAUCUUAGGUCCCAUUCCACAGCUAAGGCGAGGCAACAACCAAUGGUUGCGUGCCACGCCAUCGAAUGUGUCAUCGACUGACAAAUUUCUGUAACAUACCGUAUGAUGCGGUUAGCUGAUACGUCAAAUACCUUUCCAGGCGUUUUAAGAUCUGUCAAGCGUCAGCAGCAUCUAAGCUCUGGAACGCGUACAUUUGUUUUCCAAGAGAUAUACAUUACACUGCACAUUUCUCAUCACAACUACAAACAUAUUAACAACGUUAUAUUUACCAGUAGUAGUAAAAAAAAGCCUACCUUUAACUUAAUACUGUGGACACAAACCACACAAUCAGCAUUGUCCAGGAGUGGUCUGUUUGCAGGACCAGAGGUAGUAGUCUCUUUAAAUGCCUGUUUAUGUGUUUGUGAGUCCAAAAUGGUGCCCUAUCACCUAUAUAGUGCACUACUUUUGACCAGAGCCCUAUGGGUCCUGGUCAGUGAAAUAGCACCCUAUCCCUACUUUUGACCAUAAAAGUAGAAUACCAGCAUACCACUACACCAGGGAAGAAAAUAUACCCGACACAGUACUGAAUCAAAUAAAUGACACAAAUCAGACACAAAAUGACACACUUGACUGCUUUAAUUUGGACUUAAAAACCACAAACAAAUCCUCGGCCUGCAUCUAAUUUAGUCCAAAACUAUUUCUUCAGUCACCCCAUUUACUUAUAAAAUAAAACUAUUGUAUCCAUCCCUUGUAUGUUAUACUUCCAAUGGGAACAGUGCACAGCUAUGAUUUUGAUUUCACAAUGCAACCAUGCUGUAUGUUCUCAUACAAAUCUUUGUUC